rnacentral:rRNA from 1 species
AGUGAACGCUGGCGGUAGGCCUAACACAUGCAAGUCGAACGGCAGCACAGGAGAGCUUGCUCUCUGGGUGGCGAGUGGCGGACGGGUGAGGAAUACAUCGGAAUCUACUCUGUCGUGGGGGAUAACGUAGGGAAACUUACGCUAAUACCGCAUACGACCUGCGGGUGAAAGCAGGGGAUCUUCGGACCUUGCGCGAUUGAAUGAGCCGAUGUCGGAUUAGCUAGUUGGCGGGGUAAAGGCCCACCAAGGCGACGAUCCGUAGCUGGUCUGAGAGGAUGAUCAGCCAAACUGGAACGGAGACACGGUCCAGACUCCUACGGGAGGCAGCAGUGGGGAAUAUUGGACAAUGGGCGCAAGCCUGAUCCAGCCAUACCGCGUGGGUGAAGAAGGCCUUCGGGUUGUAAAGCCCUUUUGUUGGGAAAGAAAUCCAGCUGGCUAAUACCCGGUUGGGAUGACGGUACCCAUAGAAUAAGCACCGGCUAACUUCGUGCCAGCCGCCGCCGCGG